AGUGAACGCUGGCGGUAGGCCUAACACAUGCAAGUCGAACGGCAGCACAGUAAGAGCUUGCUCUUACGGGUGGCGAGUGGCGGACGGGUGAGGAAUACAUCGGAAUCUACUUUUUCGUGGGGGAUAACGUAGGGAAACUUACGCUAAUACCGCAUACGACCUACGGGUGAAAGCAGGGGAUCUUCGGACCUUGCGCGAUUGAAUGAGCCGAUGUCGGAUUAGCUAGUUGGCGGGGUAAAGGCCCACCAAGGCGACGAUCCGUAGCUGGUCUGAGAGGACGAUCAGCCACACUGGAACUGAGACACGGUCCAGACUCCUACGGGAGGCAGCAGUGGGGAAUAUUGGACAAUGGGCGCAAGCCUGAUCCAGCCAUACCGCGUGAGUGAAGAAGGCCUUCGGGUUGUAAAGCCCUUUUGUUGGGAAAGAAAAGCAGCAGGUUAAUACCCCGCUGUUCUGACGGUACCCAAAGAAUAAGCACCGGCUAACUUCGUG
rnacentral:rRNA from 1 species